GAGGAGAGGAACAAAGAACUGGAGAAGAGAGACAAUGGACUGGAGGAGAGAGUAACUUUCAGAAGACACCGUCUACUGCCCCCUGCAGCAGGGGCUGGCCGGGCCUCGGCUCCAGUGUCUCUGUGUGCUGGGCUCCUCAAACCAGAUCUCCCUCGUAUCACGGCCAGACGGAGCAUGGAUCCACCUC